CCUGGUUGAUUCUGCCAGUAGUCAUAUGCUUGUCUCAAAGAUUAAGCCAUGCAUGUCUAAGUAUAAGCAACUUGUACUGUGAAACUGCGAAUGGCUCAUUAAAUCAGUUAUCGUUUAUUUGAUAGUACCUUACUACAUGGAUACCUGUGGUAAUUCUAGAGCUAAUACAUGCUAAAAACCCCGACUUCAGGAAGGGGUGUAUUUAUUAGAUAAAAAACCAACGCCCUUCGGGGCUCCUUGGUGAAUCAUAAUAACUUAACGAAUCGCAUGGCCUUGCGCCGGCGAUGGUUCAUUCAAAUUUCUGCCCUAUCAACUUUCGAUGGUAGGAUAGUGGCCUACCAUGGUGGCAACGGGUAACGGGGAAUUAGGGUUCGAUUCCGGAGAGGGAGCCUGAGAAACGGCUACCACAUCCAAGGAAGGCAGCAGGCGCGCAAAUUACCCAAUCCCGAUACGGGGAGGUAGUGACAAUAAAUACUGAUACGGGGCUCUUUUGGGUCUCGUAAUUGGAAUGAGAACAAUUUAAAUCCCUUAACGAGGAACAAUUGGAGGGCAAGUCUGGUGCCAGCAGCCGCGGUAAUUCCAGCUCCAAUAGCGUAUAUUAAAGUUGUUGCAGUUAAAAAGCUCGUAGUUGAACCUUGGGUCUGGCUGGCCGGUCCGCCUCACCGCGAGUACUGGUCCGGCUGGACCUUUCCUUCUGGGGAACCUCAUGGCCUUCACUGGCUGUGGGGGGAACCAGGACUUUUACUGUGAAAAAAUUAGAGUGUUCAAAGCAGGCCUUUGCUCGAAUACAUUAGCAUGGAAUAAUAGAAUAGGACGUGUGGUUCUAUUUUGUUGGUUUCUAGGACCGCCGUAAUGAUUAAUAGGGAUAGUCGGGGGCGUCAGUAUUCAGCUGUCAGAGGUGAAAUUCUUGGAUUUGCUGAAGACUAACUA
rnacentral:rRNA from 1 species